rnacentral:lncRNA from 1 species
CUGCACUUCCUCCACGGACUUUAAAAAAGAGUCCCGCCCCUAAGCUGCCGUCUCGAGCCUCUCUCGCGGCCUCCCUAGCUCUCCUUGGCUUUGCCGAGCCAGUCCUCCCGCCUGGCGCUAGGGCGGAGAGCGGAAUCUGGGCGUCGGGCUUAUUCCGCGAUUGAUCUGCGUUGGGGAACGGGGGAAGACAGAGGGGCGGAAGGAGAUCGUUUCUGGUCUCAUUACGCCUUUUAAAGACAGCCUCUUGAAUGAUGUGAACAGUGAUGGCUUUCUCUGAGAGUAAGACAAGAAAGCUUUGUAAAUGGCGUUGAAUUUCCUGCUCUUGGCAGGCCCUGCUCAGCACAGAAGAAAAGACUGAUCAAGUUGUCCAAGAUGGAGCCCUUUAUCCACGUUAGUCCACUUAUCUCUUUAAGAUUAAAGGAAAGCAAUCAUUAAAAAUACAGAUCCAGUAAUUAUUAAUACAGCAUCCUCUUUUUUAAACACCUCAUUUUAAGAAUGAUGAUAUUCUUAGGAAAUGGGCUGGGGGAUUAUGUAGGUUUUCUCUGUUUACUUUGCAGAAUUUUUUGUUUGUU